rnacentral:rRNA from 1 species
GACGAACGCUGGCGGCGUGCUUAACACAUGCAAGUCGAACGAAGUGGCGAACGGGUGAGUAAUACGUGGGUAACCUGCCCUCCUUUUUGGGAUAAGCCAUGGCAACGGGGUCUAAUCCCGAAUAAAGGGGGAUGGGCUCGCGGCCUCUCAGCUUGUUGGUGGGGGGAUGGCCUACCAAGGCGACGAUCCCUAGCUGGUCUGAGAGGAUGACCGGCCACACUGGAACUGAGACACGGUCCAGACUCCUACGGGAGGCAGCAGUGGGGAAUAUUGCACAAGGGGCGAAAGCCGGAUGCAGCAAUGCCGCGUGUAUGAAGAAGGCUUUCGGGUGGUAAAGUACUUUCAGCGGGGAGGCGGUACUCGCAGAGGAAGCACCGGCUAACUACGUGCCAGCAGCCGCGGUAAUUC